GCGGGAGUGCCGGAGCGGUCAAACGGGACAGACUCAAAAUCUGUUGGCUUAGUGCCUACAAAGGUUCGAAUCCUUUCUUCCGCA
rnacentral:tRNA from 1 species